rnacentral:rRNA from 1 species
CACGUAGGGGGCGAGCGUUGUCCGGAUUCAUUGGGCGUAAAGAGCUCGUAGGCGGUUUCGUAAGUCGGAUGUGAAAACUCCAGGCUCAACUUGGAGACGCCAUUCGAUACUGCGAUGACUAGAGUCCGGUAGGGGAGUGUGGAAUUCCUGGUGUAGCGGUGAAAUGCGCAGAUAUCAGGAGGAACACCGGCGGCGAAGGCGGCACUCUGGGCCGGUACUGACGCUGAGGAGCGAAAGCGUGGGUAGCAAACAGG